UAAUUGAAGAGUUUGAUCAUGGCUCAGAUUGAACGCUGGCGGCAGGCCUAACACAUGCAAGUCGAACGGUAGCAGGAUGUGCUUGCACAUCGCUGACGAGUGGCGGACGGGUGAGUAAUGCUUGGGAACUUGCCUUUGCGAGGGGGAUAACAGUUGGAAACGACUGCUAAUACCGCAUAAUGUCUACGGACCAAACGGGGCUUCGGCUCCGGCGCAAAGAGAGGCCCAAGUGAGAUUAGCUAGUUGGUGAGGUAAAGGCUCACCAAGGCGACGAUCUCUAGCUGUUCUGAGAGGAAGAUCAGCCACACUGGGACUGAGACACGGCCCAGACUCCUACGGGAGGCAGCAGUGGGGAAUAUUGCACAAUGGGGGAAACCCUGAUGCAGCCAUGCCGCGUGUGUGAAGAAGGCCUUCGGGUUGUAAAGCACUUUCAGUUGUGAGGAAAGGUUGGUAGUUAAUACCUGCCAGCUGUGACGUUAACAACAGAAGAAGCACCGGCUAACUCCGUGCCAGCAGCCGCGGUAAUACGGAGGGUGCGAGCGUUAAUCGGAAUUACUGGGCGUAAAGCGCACGCAGGCGGUUUGUUAAGCUAGAUGUGAAAGCCCCGGGCUCAACCUGGGAUGGUCAUUUAGAACUGGCAGACUAGAGUCUUGGAGAGGGGAGUGGAAUUCCAGGUGUAGCGGUGAAAUGCGUAGAUAUCUGGAGGAACAUCAGUGGCGAAGGCGACUCCCUGGCCAAAGACUGACGCUCAUGUGCGAAAGUGUGGGUAGCGAACAGGAUUAGAUACCCUGGUAGUCCACACCGUAAACGCUGUCUACUAGCUGUGCGUGAAUUUAAUU
rnacentral:ncRNA from 1 species